GUUGACUAGCGUGCACUAUUAAUACAUUGUAGCGAUCCGAUCGAGAAGAUGAGCUCUAUUGGCAUGAUGGAGGCGAGGAUGCCGCCGGGGUUCCGUUUCCACCCACGGGACGAGGAGCUGGUCCUCGACUACCUCCUCCACAAGCUCACCGGCCGGCGCGCAUACGGUGGCGUCGACAUCGUGGACGUCGACCUCAACAAGUGCGAGCCAUGGGACCUUCCAGAGGCGGCGUGCGUGGGCGGCAGGGAGUGGUACUUCUUCAGCCUGCGCGACCGCAAGUACGCCACCGGCCAGCGCACCAACCGCGCCACGCGCUCCGGCUACUGGAAGGCCACCGGCAAGGACCGCGCCAUCCUCGCCCACGGCGCCGGCGACGCGUUGGUGGGGAUGCGCAAGACGCUCGUCUUCUACCAGGGCAGGGCCCCCAAGGGGACGAGGACGGAGUGGGUCAUGCACGAGUUCCGCCUGGAGGAGGAACGGCACCGCCACCACCAGCAGCAGAAGGUCGGCGCCGCCACCGCCGAGGCGAGGUGCCAGCUCAAGGAAGACUGGGUGCUAUGCAGGGUGUUCUACAAGAGCAGAACAACCAGCCCAAGGCCACCAUCUGAUGAAGCCUGCACAUUUUUCAGCGAGCUGGACCUUCCGACUAUGCCGCCGCUCGCGCCCCUCAUCAACGCCUACAUCGCCUUUGACAGCGGCACCGCGAUGAACACCAUCGAGCAAGUGUCCUGCUUCUCCGGCCUGCCGGCACUACCGCUCAGGGGAUCGAUGAGCUUCGGGGACCUGCUGGGCUGGGACAACCCUGAGAAGAAGGCCAUCAGGACAGCUCUGAGCAACAUGUCAAGUAACAGCAAUUCCAAGUUGGAGUUGACCCCAAACUGGAGCCAGGAGAACGGCUUGUCACAAAUGUGGACACCCCUCUGAUCCUGAUAUGAGAUUAUUGUGCUACUAGUUGAAGUGUGGUGGUGACUAGUAAGUAAUUAGAUGACAUAUUCUUUCUAAUGAUAUUGGAGUAGUAUUGGGCUAUUGGUUGAUGCAGUGUCUGUUCCCAGGGAUUUGAUGGAAGUGUGUGUUGAUUUACAAACCAGUAGAUUAGUGGAAUGGCUUGAUAUAGCAUCUGUACAUAGGAAUGCUAAGAAAUGUCCUAUUUUAGUUCUACUCUUUCUUUCUACUCUCCAAAUGUAAUGUAACCUCCAGCUGAAAGUAAAUAUGUGGAUAACGGAUAACCCCUGUUUGUCAUUCA
rnacentral:rRNA from 1 species